UACGAAGGGGGCUAGCGUUGCUCGGAAUGACUGGACGUAAAGGGCGCGUAGGCGGUUCGUACAGUCAGACGUGAAAUUCCCGGGCUCAACCUGGGGGCUGCGUUUGAUACGUGCGGGCUUGAGUUCGGAAGAGGGUUGUGGAAUUCCCAGUGUAGAGGUGAAAUUCGUAGAUAUUGGGAAGAACACCGGUGGCGAAGGCGGCGACCUGGUCCGAUACUGACGCUGAGGCGCGAAAGCGUGGGGAGCAAACAGG
rnacentral:rRNA from 1 species